rnacentral:rRNA from 1 species
GACGAACGCUGGCGGCGUGCUUAACACAUGCAAGUCGAACGGAAAGGCCCUGCUUUUGUGGGGUGCUCGAGUGGCGAACGGGUGAGUAACACGUGAGUAACCUGCCCUUGACUUUGGGAUAACUUCAGGAAACUGGGGCUAAUACCGGAUAGGAGCUCCUGCUGCAUGGUGGGUGUUGGAAAGUUUCGGCGGUUGGGGAUGGACUCGCGGCUUAUCAGCUUGUUGGUGGGGUAGUGGCUUACCAAGGCUUUGACGGGUAGCCGGCCUGAGAGGGUGACCGGCCACAUUGGGACUGAGAUACGGCCCAGACUCCUACGGGAGGCAGCAGUGGGGAAUAUUGCACAAUGGGCGGAAGCCUGAUGCAGCAACGCCGCGUGCGGGAUGACGGCCUUCGGGUUGUAAACCGCUUUCGCCUGUGACGAAGCGUGAGUGACGGUAAUGGGUAAAGAAGCACCGGAUAACUACGUG